UCCUUUUGAAUUAUUGUUUAUGUGAUAGUUUUCUAUGAUUUUCAGACAGUAAAGAAGAAAGAUGACAGCACAGCAAAUAAGCUGUGUUUCAUAGAACAGUGGCACGAUACUCUCUGCUCUGCAGCUCCUGAGAAGGUUCAAAUCCAGCCCCAUGACUGUGACAUAGUGUACAGACUGGUUGAUACUGCCUUGGAAACCCUCUUAGGCCAAGCAAAGAGUACCAUGAUUUACAACCCAGAAGCACCAGGUUAUAUCAUUGACGAAGAGAGUGUCAGAGUUUACGGACGGGUGAGAGUUUAUGUGCCAUUAUUGGAUGAUUGUAAACCUGGAUGAAUUCACAGAUCAGGAUGCUAAUAUUAUGUAUGUUUGAGGUCAUUAGCCAACUAUAUCUUACUCUAGAUCAUGCACCAACUCACCUCUGAGAUUCUUCAUGGGGUGUUAACCAAUCACUUUGGGAUUACAAGAUCUAUGUGGCAGACAAAAAAUAUACUCUCAAGUCUCCUAUCAAGUAGAAUCUUUCUCACCGACCUGAAGGCUGCUGUUAAAUCUGAGGUGCAGAAAGAGCUCAACUUGGAACGGACGGACCUUCAGAUGAAAGAGAUUCUCCUGACGUUGUGCAAAUACAGGAGUACAAAGCGAGACAGAGUAGACUACAUUCUGAUCCAAGAGCUUCACAAAGAAGAACUUCAGUGGGUGGACUACAGCGCUGACCAGAUUACUGUGAAGAUGAAACUGUCUGAGGAGAUUUUCAGUCUUCUCCUAGAGGACACUAUAUCAGUUCUUAAACACAUGUACAUGACACCAUCCUUUUGAACCUUCCAUGACACCAUCCUUUUGAAAUAAGGUUACUGUUCCCUCAAUAAAAUAUAUCUUAUUAAUUGCCAAUACAUUCUCAAAUGUUUUAAAUUCAGUUACAAUUACAUGUAAUUGAUUAUUGAUUAUCUAUGAUCGUUGAAGAAUUUGAAUAAAUCACUCAUA